rnacentral:lncRNA from 13 species
AUGGCUGGAUACACCUGUGUAUUUCAACAUGGUAUACAGUAUACUGGCUGGAUACACCUGUGUAUUUCAACAUGGUAUACAGUAUACUGGCUGGAUACACCUGUGUAUUUCAACAUGGUAUACAGUAUACUGGCUGGAUACACCUGUGUAUUUCAACAUGGUAUACAGUAUACUGGCUGGAUACACCUGUGUAUUUCAACAUGGUAUACAGUAUACUGGCUGGAUACACCUGUGUAUUUCAACAUGGUAUACAGUAUACUGGCUGGAUACACCUGUGUAUUUCAACAUGGUAUACAGUACACUGGCUGGCUACACCUGUGUAUUUCAACAGGGUAUACAGUACCCUGGCUGGAUACACCUGUGUGCCUCUACAGUUACACAUGUUUAGAAUAUCACAACAACAACAACAACCUCUUUGUUUGUCUCAGAGUCGGUAAGUGCCGGUAACAGAGCACCAUAGUGCACAAUAUAUCUUCUUCCAUCUGUCCCUUAUUGUAAUGGUUGUUGGUUGCAGUGAGCAAACGGUGUGGCACUGACUUGGUUUCAAAAACAAAACAGUUAUUAUGACGCAGAGAUAACUGGGUUGGGCAUUUAGGCUCCUCCCUCUUCCCUCAGGAACCCAAUCGGGUAACGUUACCGAGGUGUUUACCGAGGCAACGGAACCCUAACAACCCCGGGUCUUUUAGGCAAAGGCAGACUUGAGUCUCCAGCUUGGCGCUCAACACACAGUACAUAAGUGCUUCAACAACAAAAGCAUCAGGUGAUUUUUUUGAAUCUUUCGUCAUCUUUGACGACAGUUGCUUUUCUCCCCGUCGGAUUCCUUCCUUCCUUCCUUCCCGCCCUUCGGUUUCACUUUCCCUCUGUGGUUUCACUUAGAGGCCUCCAGCUUUUCGGCGGCCAGGAGUUCGAGCAGGGGGUUGGCCUCGCUCUCGGGGGUCUUGACGCUGUCGGUGCGGACGAUGCAGGUGGGGCGGUGGAGGUUGAGCAUCACCAUUAGCUGCUGUCUCUCCAUCCUCAGCUCUUCGAUUUGGGCCUUUAGGUCGGAGUUCACCACCUCCAGACGCUCCGACUCCUACAGGGAGGACAGAGAGGGGAGGGGGGUAUACUGUUAGGUCAUUGAUUUAGCCUUUAUUUAACCAGGUAACACAUCGAGAACACUUUCUCUUUUAUAAUGACCCGAGGUCCCACUUUAAACAAACUAUAAGCAGGACUGGGGUGUAAUGGGGUUACAUGUAACAGAUAUAUUUUUUAAAUGAACUGUAAUCUGUUACUUUACCAGCAUUAGAAACAUACUUUUGAAAAACGAGAUGAUUACUUCUACGAUUAAUUUUAAAUUCAGGAAAAAAAAGGAUGUUUGCGAGAGAAAAAAACCUUUUGACAAUUUUCUGUUUUCUCAAAUCAGUGUUGAAAAAAAAAAGGACCAAGUUUUUAUUAUUUUUUUUUACCUUGAUUUAACUACUCUGUCAUUUAUCUAUUACUGUUGAUAUCUAGAAUUUAGGGGGAUCACACGGCUACUCUGUCAUUUUAUCGUUUUGCGCCUCACGGGUUGUGGAUGGCUGUUCACAAAAGUAUAUGUAUAUUUUAACCCAGUAAUGGUUGAAUUGAAGAAGUUUAAGCUGCCUAUCACUCAUUGGUUUUGCGACCAGUGGACAGCCAGUGAAAAAGGGGCUCUUGCAACAGCUGCAUAAUGUGGAUCCCAGCCUAUAGAAUAACAGCUGCAUUAUGUGGAUCCCAGCCUAUAGAAUAACAGCUGCAUAGUGUGGAUCCCAGCCUA